UCGAUUCCCAUUUUCAUAGUUAUCCGUCGGUUUAUUUGACACACACUCCUUGUCGGUUUAAUGAAAAACAAAGCCCACCUCUUAGUUUUUCUUUCUCUCGUGAAAACAGACUCCAAACCCAAACAUUCUUCUCCUGCCUCAAUCUUUCUCUCACCUCUGAUUCUCUCCACCGCCCCUCCCUCGCCGGAGCUUCGCCGUGCUGCCGUUCCCCCCCGAUGCGGUGUUGAUGCUUUACUCCCUUCCCAUCUCUCUUUCUCUGCUUUGUUCGUGCUCUGUCGUCAUUGCGCCGCUCGCGUGCCGUCGCGGUGCUGCUGCUGGUGGCUGCGUGGUGGUGGUGUUCCGUCAAUGAUGCGCCGCUGUCAUUGUGGUGUUAUUGUGCUCUUGUUCUCUCUUCUCUGUUCUUGCUCGUUAAUGUCGCAGUAGUUGAUGUUGUUCUGCCGGCGGUCGACUUGCGCUGCUGCUGUCGCCACCUCGGUGUUGGUGGUACACCGAGUACCGAAGGUACUGCUGGGGACGAUGGUACUGCGUAGUGGCAAGGAUUACCACCUUAUUAAAUCAUCUAGUAUUAGUGCUACUAACUUGUAAGGUUAACUUAACUAGAAUGUAAGACCAUAUGCUUUGAUAUGAGUUAUCGUUGUUAUGUCAAGUAAACGUUAACGUUGUCUGCUUUAUUAUAAUAUAAGAUGUCUAAGUUAUCACUA